rnacentral:rRNA from 1 species
UACGUAGGGUGCAAGCGUUAAUCGGAAUACUGGGCGUAAAGCGUGCGCAGGCGGUUGUGCAAGACAGAUGUGAAAUCCCCGGGCUUAACCUGGGAAUUGCAUUUGUGACUGCACGGCUAGAGUGUGUCAGAGGGGGGUAGAAUUCCACGUGUAGCAGUGAAAUGCGUAGAUAUGUGGAGGAAUACCGAUGGCGAAGGCAGCCCCCUGGGAUAACGACUGACGCUCAUGCACGAAAGCGUGGGGAGCAAACAGG